UACGGGGGGGGCAAGCGUUGUUCGGAAUUACUGGGCGUAAAGGGCGCGUAGGCGGUUUGCUAAGUUGGAUGUGAAAACUCUGGGCUUAACCCAGAGCCUGCAUCCAAAACUGGCAAACUUGAGUACUGGAGGGGAAAGCGGAAUUCCUGGUGUAGCGGUGAAAUGCGUAGAGAUCAUGAGGAAGACCAGUGGCGAAGGCGGGUCUCUGGACAGUUCCUGACACUGAGGCACGAAGGCCAGGGGAGCAAACGGG
rnacentral:rRNA from 1 species